rnacentral:lncRNA from 12 species
CCAGGCUCUUGGCUGUUGGGGUGAGGUCCUCUCUGCAGCCCAGCACUCUCCAUGGGGGGUCUCUGCUUGGCUCCCGGGCCAAAUGCAGCCUUGUGGAGCGGGCCAGGAGAUUUGAGGGCGUGAGAGGCACUGGGAGAGCCACCGUCUCUGCGUCAGAUUGCACUGAUUUCUCCCGCUUGCCCAAUUGGCUGUAUCCAGAGCUGAGACCGGCAUGUGCCAGCCUGCCAUCCAAGCGUGAGAUAGCCCAUGAUACAGUCUUUCAAGAAUUCUUUCUAUGCACCUAGAGAGGAUAUAACACAUCGUACUUAUCUGAAUGACUCUGCAAGGAUUUGCACUGGAUACCAGACUUCAUUUCAUGAAUAAGCAUUUGUCUUCAAAACAGCAGAAACUGUUUUUCUUGUAAUUCCAUAUUUCAAGACAUUCAGCUUAACAGUCUCAGCUCUUGUUUUAAAACCUGAAUUAUUCAGCUUUGUACCUAAGCCUUUUUUGCAGACUCUGUUAGUACUUUCCUGUGCAUAAGCUGCUGUGUUGAGACUCCUGCGUGAACCUACUUUGGAUGCACCUGGACACGGGUCCCCCCAGAACAAUCACAUCAUUUCCCCAGCUCCCAUCAGCAGGACCUGCAUCGAGACAAGGCACGCCACGUGUCUUUCUUUCACCAUUUCCAAUCUAAUAGGUGGGAAAUACCAUUUUUUAAGUUUAAAUUUCUCUGUUGAAUGACAGAAGUAAAUAUUUUCAGUUCUUAGUUCCUGUAUUUUUUCAUGAAAAUGUAUUAUUUUAUGAGUAAAUUUUCUGUGCCCCCUUUUAAAAACUGAGCAGAUUCCUAUCACAUGAAGGAUUCUAAUUACUCAUUGUAUAUCCUGCAGUUAUUCCAAUAUGUUGUUUUAUUUUUAACAUGUGAAUACUUAUCAUUUUAGGUCUGAAAAAAAUCCAAUGAGCAUCUUCUUUGUGCAUUCUGAUUUUGGAAUUAUGCUUAGAGAGGCCAAGCUCAACUCUAGGGUUUUGCUCGUUUGUUGUAUCACUAACGUUUUCUUCUAGCUAUUUAAGAUUUUUUUCCAUUAUUUUAUGGUUUCAUUUAAAAAGAAUCUUUCUGUGUGACUAUCAUAAAUUCAUAAAAAUUUAAGAAAAUAAAAAUAAAAAAAAAU